rnacentral:lncRNA from 1 species
CUUCUUUUAGAGACAGAGUCUCAGGUAGACAAAACCUCUUGUCAGUCCUCCUGCCUCAGUCUUGUUGGACUGUAAUCCAGUCACUCCGUAGGCUUAUGCAGAGUCUACAGCCCUUGAAUCUUCUACUCAGGUCUCCUCUCUUCUCUCUUCUCUGAUUGAAGGAAAAACUGACUCUCCUCUAGUUCCCUCUUGUGGGUAGGGCCUGACAUACCUGUGUGCAAUGGGUUUUAUGCACAUGUGUAUAUGUGUGUGUGUGUGUGUGUGUGUGUGUGUAACAGC